AUUGAACGCUGGCGGCAGGCUUAACACAUGCAAGUCGAGCGGAGAUGAGGUGCUUGCACCUUAUCUUAGCGGCGGACGGGUGAGUAAUGCUUAGGAAUCUGCCAUUUAGUGGGGGACAACAUUCCGAAAGGAAUGCUAAUACCGCAUACGUCCUACGGGAGAAAGCAGGGGAUCUUCGGACCUUGCGCUAAAUGAUGAGCCUAAGUCGGAUUAGCUAGUUGGUGGGGUAAAGGCCUACCAAGGCGACGAUCUGUAGCGGGUCUGAGAGGAUGAUCCGCCACACUGGGACUGAGACACGGCCCAGACGCCUACGGGAGGCAGCAGUGGGGAAUAGUGGACAAUGGGGGGAACCCUGAUCCAGCCAUGCCGCGUGUGUGAAGAAGGCCUUAUGGUUGGAAAGCACUUUAAGCGAGGAGGAGGCUACUGAGACUAAUACUCUUGGAUAGUGGACGUUACUCGCAGAAUAAGCACCGGCUAACUCUGUG
rnacentral:rRNA from 1 species